UACGUAUGGUGCAAGCGUUAUCCGGAUUUACUGGGUGUAAAGGGAGCGUAGACGGAGUGGCAAGUCUGAUGUGAAAAUCCGGGGCUCAACCCCGGGACUGCAUUGGAAACUGUCAAUCUAGAGUACCGGAGAGGUAAGCGGAAUUCCUAGUGUAGCGGUGAAAUGCGUAGAUAUUAGGAGGAACACCAGCGGCGAAGGCGGCUUACUGGACGGUAACUGACGUUGAGGCUCGAAAGCGUGGGGAGCAAACAGG
rnacentral:rRNA from 1 species